rnacentral:tRNA from 1 species
GGGCCCGUAGCUUAGCCAGGUUGGAGCGCCCAGGGGACAGAGCCCCCGCGUAUGGCUGAUAACCGGGAGGCCCCGGGUUCAAAUCCCGGCGGGCCCA